rnacentral:rRNA from 1 species
AUGAACGCUGGCGGUAUGCUUAACACAUGCCAGUCGAACGGACUCUUCGGAGUUAGUGGCGGACGGGUGAGUAACGCGUGAGAAUCUGGCUUUGGGUUCGGGACAACCACUGGAAACGGUGGCUAAUACCGGAUGUGCCGAGAGGUAAAAGAGAAAUUGCCUGAAGAUGAGCUCGCGUCUGAUUAGCUAGUUGGUGAGGUAAAGGCUCACCAAGGCAGCGAUCAGUAGCUGGUCUGAGAGGAUGACCAGCCACACUGGGACUGAGACACGGCCCAGACUCCUACGGGAGGCAGCAGUGGGGAAUUUUCCGCAAUGGGCGAAAGCCUGACGGAGCAAUACCGCGUGAGGGAAGAAGGCUCUUGGGUUGUAAACCUCUUUUCUUAGGGAAGAACAAAAUGACGGUACCUAAGGAAUCAGCAUCGGCUAACUCCGUG